rnacentral:rRNA from 1 species
UGGCCGGGCGACGGUUGUCCCGGUUUAAGCGUGUAGGUGUGUGUUCCAGGUAAAUCCGGUUCACUUUAACACUGAGGCGUGAUGACGAGGCACUACGGUGCUGAAGCAACAAAUGCCCUGCUUCCAGGAAAAGCCUCUAAGCAUCAGGUAACAUCAAAUCGUACCCCAAACCGACACAGGUGGUCAGGUAGAGAAUACCAAGGCGCUUGAGAGAACUCGGGUGAAGGAACUAGGCAAAAUGGUGCCGUAACUUCGGGAGAAGGCACGCUGACACGUAGGUGAAGUGAUUUACUCAUGGAGCUGAAGUCAGUCGAAGAUACCAGCUGGCUGCAACUGUUUAUUAAAAACACAGCACUGUGCAAACACGAAAGUGGACGUAUACGGUGUGACGCCUGCCCGGUGCCGGAAGGUUAAUUGAUGGGGUCAGCGCAAGCGAAGCUCCUGAUCGAAGCCCCGGUAAACGGCGGCCGUAACUAUAACGGUCCUAAGGUAGCGAAAUUCCUUGUCGGGUAAGUUCCGACCUGCACGAAUGGCGUAAUGAUGGCCAGGCUGUCUCCACCCGAGACUCAGUGAAAUUGAACUCGCUGUGAAGAUGCAGUGUACCCGCGGCAAGACGGAAAGACCCCGUGAACCUUUACUAUAGCUUGACACUGAACAUUGAGCCUUGAUGUGUAGGAUAGGUGGGAGGCUUUGAAGUGUGGACGCCAGUCUGCAUGGAGCCGGCCUUGAAAUACCACCCUUUAAUGUUUGAUGUUCUAACGUGGACCCGUGAUCCGGGUUGCGGACAGUGUCUGGUGGGUAGUUUGACUGGGGCGGUCUCCUCCUAAAGAGUAACGGAGGAGCACGAAGGUUGGCUAAUCCUGGUCGGACAUCAGGAGGUUAGUGCAAUGGCAUAAGCCAGCUUGACUGCGAGCGUGACGGCGCGAGCAGGUGCGAAAGCAGGUCAUAGUGAUCCGGUGGUUCUGAAUGGAAGGGCCAUCGCUCAACGGAUAAAAGGUACUCCGGGGAUAACAGGCUGAUACCGCCCAAGAGUUCAUAUCGACGGCGGUGUUUGGCACCUCGAUGUCGGCUCAUCACAUCCUGGGGCUGAAGUAGGUCCCAAGGGUAUGGCUGUUCGCCAUUUAAAGUGGUACGCGAGCUGGGUUUAGAACGUCGUGAGACAGUUCGGUCCCUAUCUGCCGUGGGCGCUGGAGAACUGAGGGGGGCUGCUCCUAGUACGAGAGGACCGGAGUGGACGCAUCACUGGUGUUCGGGUUGUCAUGCCAAUGGCACUGCCCGGUAGCUAAAUGCGGAAGAGAUAAGUGCUGAAAGCAUCUAAGCACGAAACUUGCCCCGAGAUGAGUUCUCCCUGAGACUUUAGGUCUCCUGAAGGAACGUUGAAGACGACGACGUUGAUAGGCCGGGUGUGUAAGCGCAGCGAUGCGUUGAGCUAACCGGUACUAAUGAACCGUGAGGCUUAACCUUACA